rnacentral:rRNA from 1 species
UAGGGAAUCUUCCACAAUGGACGCAAGUCUGAUGGAGCAACGCCGCGUGAGUGAAGAAGGUUUUCGGACCGUAAAGCUCUGUUGUUGGUGAAGAAGGAUAGAGGUAAUAACUGGCCUUUAUUUGACGGUAAUCAACCAGAAAGUCACGGCUAACUACGUGCCAGCAGCCGCGGUAAUACGUAGGUGGCAAGCGUUGUCCGGAUUUAUUGGGCGUAAAGCGAGCGCAGGCGGAAGAAUAAGUCUGAUGUGAAAGCCCUCGGCUUAACCGAGGAAUUGCAUCGGAAACUGUUUUCUUGAGUGCAGAAAGA